GAUGAACGCUGACAGAAUGCUUAACACAUGCAAGUCUACUUGAUUCUACUUCGGUAGUUGAUGGUGGCGGACGGGUGAGUAACGCGUAAAGAAUCUGCCCUUUAGUUUGGGAUAACCUUUGGAAACGAAGGCUAAUACCGAAUAUUAUGGAGAUGUCGCAUGACGACUUCAUGAAAGCUAUAUGCGCUAGAGGAGGACUUUGCGUCCCAUUAGUUAGUUGGUGAGGUAAUGGCUCACCAAGACCGCGAUGGGUAGCCGGCCUGAGAGGGUGAUCGGCCACAAGGGAACUGAGACAUGGUCCUUACUCCUACGGGAGGCAGCAGUGGAGAAUAUUGGACAAUGGACCACAAGUCUGAUCCAGCAAUUCUGUGUGCACGAUGAAGGUCUUCGGAUUGUAAAGUGCUUUCAGUAGGGAAGAAAAAAAUGACGGUACCUACAGAAGAAGCGACGGCUAAAUAUGUGCCAGCCGCCGCCGUAAUAC
rnacentral:rRNA from 1 species